AAUGCUCCUGCAGCUCGCGCUCCCGCGCCGAUCCCGAGAGCGUCCGGGCCGCCGUGCGCGAACGAAGGAGGGAACGCGCGCGCGGGGGGCGCGCUCGUGAGUGGGGGCCGCGCGCUCAGCGGCGCGCAUGUGCGUGUGUGCGGGCUGCCGGGUUGCCCCGAGCCGGCCGGGGAGCCGGUCGGACCGCUCCAGGUGAGGGCGGCGGGAGCGAGUGAGGCUGAGGU
rnacentral:other from 1 species